rnacentral:rRNA from 1 species
GGUAAAUCUUGUACCGGCCCCCUAUUAUUGCAUCUCGACCCCAUUAUUCUUACCUUGCUCCCUGAUGUUGGCGGCGGACGGGUGAGUAACACGUGGGUCACCUGCCUGUUAGACUGGGAUAACUCCGGGAAACCGGGUCUAAUACUGGAUGGUUGUUUGAACCGCAUGGUUCGAACGUAAUUGGUGGCUUCGGCUACCACUUACGGAUGGACCCGCGGCGCAUUUGGGGGGGGGAGAGGUAACGGCUCACCAAGGCAACGAUGCGUACCCAACCUGAGAGGGUGAUCGGGCACACUGGGACUGAGACACGGCCCAAACUCCUGCGGGAGGGGGGAAUAUGGAAUCUUCGGCAAUGGACCAAAGUCUGACCGACCACCGCCGCGUGAAUGAUUUAGGUUUUCGAAUCUCAUUCCUCUGUUAUAAAGAUAGAACAAGUACCCCUCGAGUAGAGCGGUCCGUUGACUGUACCUAACCAGAAGGUCACUGCUAACUACGUGCAGCGUUCCUCCGGAAUUAUGUAGGUGGAAGCGUUGUCCGGAGUUAUUGGGCGUAGGGGGGUCGCAGGUGGUUUCUUAUGUCUGAUGUCAGGGCCCCCGGCUCAACCUGGAGUGGGUC